UCGAGCGGCGGACGGCUGAGUAACGCGUAGGAACGUACCCCAAACUGAGGGAUAACUGCCCGAAAGGGUAGCUAAUACCGCAUGUGAUCUUCGGAUUAAAGCUUCGGCGGUUUGGGAACGGCCUGCGUAUGAUUAGCUUGUUGGUGAGGUAAAAGCUCACCAAGGCGACGAUCAUUAGCUGGUCUGAGAGGAUGAUCAGCCAGACUGGGACUGAGAACGGCCCAG
rnacentral:rRNA from 1 species